rnacentral:rRNA from 1 species
AUACGUAGGGAGCGAGCGUUGUCCGGAAUGAUUGGGCGUAAAGGGCGCGUAGGCGGCGCGGUAAGUCUGGAGUGAAAGUCCUGCUUUCAAGGUGGGAAUUGCUUUGGAUACUGCCGCGCUUGAGUGCAGGAGAGGUUAUCGGAAUUCCCGGUGUAGCGGUGAAAUGCGUAGAGAUCGGGAGGAACACCAGUGGCGAAGGCGGGUAACUGGACUGCAACUGACGCUGAGGCGCGAAAGUGUGGGGAGCAAACAGGAUUAGAUACCCUGGUAGUCCACACUGUAAACGAUGAAUGCUAGGUGUAAGAGGUAUCGACCCCUUUUGUGCCGGAGUCAACACAAUAAGCAUUCCGCCUGGGGAGUACGGCCGCAAGGUUGAAACUCAAAGGAAUUGACGGGG